UUAUAAUUUGAAGUCAGGUCAUGUGAUGCCUCCAGAUUUGUUCCUUCUGCUUAAGAUUGCCUUGGCUGUUCUGG